rnacentral:lncRNA from 1 species
UUCCUCGGGAAUACAUACCUUUCCAAGAGGUGGGGCAAUUCUUCCACUCCCAGUGCAUACAGUCGAUGCUUCCAAUCAUCCCGGGAAAUCCACGUUCUUCUCCCUUGUGUAGUAGCCUUUCAAGAUCGUCGGGUGUUGGACGUCUUAGGUACUCAUCGCCAAACAAGUCGAUGAUUGCGGCAGGGAAAUUGUGGAAGCAAUUCCGAGCUGUUGAUUCACCAAGUCGGACAUAUUCGUCCACCGUAUCAGCCCCACCCCCAUAUGCUAAUUGACGUAUUGCUGCUGUGCAUUUCUGGAGCGGUAAUAGACUACGCCUUCCGACUGCAUCUUCCGUUGCAGCAAAAUACUCCACUUCCGUAGAGAGGCGAUGCACAAUCCGCAUGAACAAUGACUUGCUCAUUCGAAACCGUUGGCGGAAUAUAUUGGAAGGAUAUGUAGGAGUUUCAGAAAAAUAAUCAUUCCAUAGCUGGAUGUCGCCUUCUUCCCGGUGUCUUUCAAUAAAAAUACGUUUUUUUCUGUUUUUGGGUUCGGACAACAUUUCGGGGAUUUCUAAUAAUUCUUCAAAUAGAGAUUCAAAUUCAGCAUCAUCUUCAUCAUUUUUAUGGUAAUGAUAAUGUGAUGAACCAGCCAUUUGAAAUGAAAAAAAAAACUUAAUUUUUAAUCUGAUUUUUAAGAGAGAUAGAAGACGGAUGAAGUUGUGAAGUAAAUGUGAUGAAGUUCUCUUCUACUUAUAGUGUGAUAGUGAAUAUCUUCUCCCUUGUGUAGUAGCCUUUCAAGAUCGUCGGGUGUUGGACGUCUUAGGUACUCAUCGCCAAACAAGUCGAUGAUUGCGGCAGUAAAAUUGUGCAAGCAAUUCCGAGCUGUUGAUUCACCAAGUCGGACAUAUUCGUCCACCGUAUCAGCCCCACCCCCAUAUGCUAAUUGACGUAUUGCUGCUGUGCAUUUCUG